GAUGAACGCUGGCGGCGUGCCUAAUACAUGCAAGUCGAGCGAACAGACGAGGAGCUUGCUGCUCUGUCGUUAGCCGCGGACGGGUGUGUAACACGUGUAUCACCUACCUAUCAGACUGGGAUAACUUCGAGAAACCGGCGCUAAUCCCGUAUAAUCUCUUGAACCGCAUGGUUCAAUAGUGAAAGUCGGCGUUGCUGUCUCUUCUAGAUGGAUCCGCGCUGCAUGAGCUAGUUGGUCAGGUAAUGGCUUACCAAGGCUACGAUGCGUAGCCGAACUGAGAGGGGGAUAGGCGACACUGGAACGGAGACAGGGUCCAGAGUACUGCGGGAGGCAGCAGAAGGGUAUCUUAGGCAACAGGCGAAAGCAUGGCAGAGCAAGGCCGAGCGAGUGACGAAGGUCUUCGGAUCGUAAAACUCUGUUAUUAGGGAAGAACAGAUGUGUAAGGAACUGUGCACUGAGUGACGGUAAUUAGUAAGAAAGCCACGGCUAACUACGUG
rnacentral:rRNA from 1 species